AUUUGUCCAUCUGCCACACUGUCAUCACCUGUACAUGUCUUACAUGUCUGCACAAAUUCAUUUGUUUUUAAUAUGAUUUGCUUCUUCCGGCACAGCUUUUGAAAUCACACCAUGCAAACAAACAGGUUCAAGGCCAAGGACAUGCAACAGAUGGUGAAGUUGGAGGAGGAGAUGGACCGCAGACCUGCCACGGUGGUGUGAGCGAAUGAGACAGAGGCACAUGUACACACACACACACACACACACACACACACACACACACACACACACAAACAUGCAGGUGCAGAAACACUGCACCGCUGAUAGCCCUCUACAACCCAGAGACAUUAACCCUGGUUACAUCACUGUCUCUCUACUUUCUGUCAUCUUUCACACACAAACAAACAAACAAACACAGUAGCCCUGCCACCAAUCAGUUUCUGCAUCCUUACCUCACCCACCAACUCUACAACACUGAGCCAUUGGUGCUCUUCACUGUUUGGCAGGGGGUAUAACCACUUAUAUGGAGAGGAAAUGUUACCUCGGAAGCAAAUAACACAGAAUCAGACGUAUCCCCUCCUCCACUGUUUGUAGAUCGAAAUGUUCACCUUCAACGCUCUCUGAAUCCUACGGGCAACACAAGCUGCAGCUAUGGGUGGACACACACUCACUCUCAACCACACACACACACACACACACACACACACACACACACACACACAGAACACAUGCACAAACACUUUCACUCACGGGAGGUGGAUAACCAUUCCCUUUUAUACUUUUUUCCUUCUUUCUUUCUUUGAAAAUGGUACCCGAUUAACUGCUCCAGAAACGGCGCGAAGAGGCGAAAAGAAUAUGUUUAAGAUUUAAUGUCAUUUCAGCACAAAUGAAAAAACGUUGUGAAAUACACUGUACGCUACACACCAGUCCUGUCCUGAGCACUUUGUAUGUGUAGGCCAUUAUAACAAUGUGGGAAAUGUAGCAGUGCACUACUGUAGGUUUUCUGUAUUUCAGUAAGAAUGUAUUUUUAAAAAAGAAAAUCACUGUAUGAAGGAGUAGCAAACGCCACGUGUCACCUAUACCUACAAUGCAAGUUGUGUAACUUCACAAAGAUGUGUUACUGACGUUUUUGUUGUCCGACAAUGUUACAGCCGACUAUAAAAAGGCUUAUUAUCUUUGCUGCGUCAAAAGACUAUAAAGGGAUCACAAUGGAGAGAUGUUCACUUUGAUUAUGGCCCAUUUCCCCACUCAAGUUUUGUUUUUAAAUGCUAUACCCUAGAGAUUGUGUACCUUUUGUGUUUUACUUGAAAAUAACAUGCUAAAGUCAUUUUUAUUUAUUUUUACAAUUACCCUCAAUCAUCACAAGUUCAUACCUGCAAAACCCAAAGUGUAAUGCUCCUAAUUUUGGGCUCAAAAUCACAUAUACUAUGCAAACUAUACAAAACAUGAUUCCCUUAAAGCUUAAGGUGUAGAAAAUACCGAAAAUCAAUUAUGACCGUGACCAAAAGAAAUAGAGGGAAAUGAUACAGUAAUAGUUACCCAAAUGAUUUAUUUGUUUUGCCUUUAAUGAUGGAUGACUAAACAACAUGAAGGUAUUACAUUGAAACAGAGGCUCCAUAGUCUAAACCAAGCUCUAUAGCACCCACAUUGUCAAGGCAAAAGGCCUAAGAGCCCUAGACAUAAACACUGCACCACUGUAUACCAGAGAGUAUCUACAGUAGCAUCUACAUCUCAGCAAAACAGCCAACUGUCACUGUCCCAGGAGGCAGGCAGUGGAACAACCGGAGAACUGUUAACUGUGGAAACUACCCAGAAAAGAGGCCCGUUGACGAAGUAGGCAAAUAAAAGAAGGAAGGUUCAAAACUGUUAUUUCUUCUAAACCAGAUCAGUAACUAACAACACCUGGCCAUGUUGCUUACAAUAUGAACAAGCAGAUUGAAAACUUACACAUGUAAAAAAAGUGGGCAAAGUUGUGGAGAGUUUUGCACUCGAAACUCUUGUGAAAUUGUGCCAAGUCCUUAAAACACAUGUAGCAAAAUGUGUCAAUGUGUGGCAGCACAUUCAUUCUGCUGUAAUACAUUGUUUUAAUUGAGUCGCCCAUCACCAUCGGACAAGAACUUUUGCAGAGCGAAGUCAAAGCCAUCUGGCCUAGUCAGUGUCCCCCUCAUUAAAGCGGUGUUUAAGUGAAGUGCUCCCUUAAUAGCUUCUUGACUGCACGUUAGCAACCUCAGCUUGUAAUCCUCAACGUUUCCCUGCUCGCCUUCAGUCAGGGGAUGUCAGACUGAGUCAUUAAAAGAGAUUUGUAACAAAGCCUGUGACAUGGCUGCCACACACUUUCCACACCAGGGACUUCAGAGCAGGCCUGUGUCCCCCACACGUUCCCUUACUGUUUAUGGCACUACAGAGAACUUGAGGAAGCACUAUUUUCUUCAGUCUUGGUGACACUGCUGGACAAAAAGCCCCCACAGGGAAUGAAAUGUGAGCUGAAGUACGAUUAUAAAGUAAUACUGUGGGUACUGUAGUAUUUGUGCACAUAUGACGAUGCCUGGCAGUCACAUUGCAGGGCAUACCACUAACAAAGAGGACCAAAAGUCUUUAUAAUGAUGACACAAAAAACAUGAGGAUAAAAGCACCUCGAGGUAUUAAGCCCUAUUUAAAAUAUAUUUCCUGCUGUAACACACAUAUAGGGUAGAUGGGAUUUUCUUGUAUAUACUGGAAUGUAUGUAGUUUAAUUUACUUUUUGACCAAUUGUGUUCUGUCAUACAAGGGCUUGGGAUAGAGUGGGUCUGUGGGAUGUUGGGAAAGACAUUUAUCAACCACUGGGUUUUCUUUGUUGUCUCCGUCUCCCAGUCUGCCCUGACUGCACCGCACAACACAGUGUAAAGCUCACACCACAUAUCUAGUGCAGAGAUAAACAAGUCAAAAAGUGCUUUUAAAUUGUAUUCCAUUGCUUUCAAAUGUGCCACUCAGUGUCUGCUAGGAUGGUAACAUUAUUUUGUGAAUGAUAAAAUGCCAAAUUAAGGGGUUAUUUAUAUGAAGAUAUAUAUAAAUAAAUGAAUAUAUAUAUAUAUUAUAUAUAUUAGAUAUAAUGUGUAGUUUAAGAAUAUUAUGUUUGUUAGAGGCUUUGUUGCACUAGUGGAAUGUUUUUGUUGUGUGAUUACAUGUAACCUUUGGCUCUCUAGUUCGUCAAAAAGCCGAUUAUUUUUGCAGAGCGAGUCACCGAUUUCAUUUCCUCAGUUUCUACUGUAUCUCCUCUUUGUUUUCUAUUUGAACUGUAGCUUGUCAACAAACCAUUCUGUGCGUGUUUUUGUAUUUAUAUUGUAUUGUUGAACUUAAAGCAAUGAAAAUACUGUUGUUAUCCAGCUCCUUUAAUACUGUUUUAUAGUAUGUGUACCAAUAAAUCCAGGUGUAAAACGGGA